UCCUAACUUAGAUGCUGGCUUGCAUAGC
rnacentral:piRNA from 1 species